rnacentral:rRNA from 1 species
GACGAACGCUGGCGGCGUGCUUAACACAUGCAAGUCGAACGGUGAACCCGCUUCGGUGGGGGAUCAGUGGCGAACGGGUGAGUAACACGUGGGCAACCUGCCCCCGGCUCUGGGAUAACCCCAAGCAAUUGGGGCUAAUACCGGAUAUGACCGCUGACCGCAUGGUCUGGUGGUGGAAAGAUUUAUCGGCUGGGGAUGGGCUCGCGGCCUAUCAGCUUGUUGGUGGGGUAGUGGACUACCAAGGCGACGCCGGGUAGCCGGCCUGAGAGGGUGACCGGCAACACUGGGAAUGAGAAACGGCCCAGACUCCUACGGGAGGCAGCAGUGGGGAAUAUUGCGCAAUGGGCGGAAGCCUGACGCAGCGACGCCGCGUGGGGGAUGACGGCCUUCGGGUUGUAAACCUCUUUCAGCAGGGACGAAGCCGUGAGGUGACGGUACCUGCAGAAGAAGCACCGGCCAACUACGUGCCAGCCGCCGCCGUAACAC